CCUACGGGUGGCAGCAGUGAGGAAUAUUGGUCAAUGGCCGAGAGGCUGAACCAGCCAAGUCGCGUGAGGGAAGACGGCCCUACGGGUUGUAAACCUCUUUUGUCGGGGAGCAAAGCGAGUCACGUGUGACUCAUUGAGAGUACCCGAAGAAAAAGCAUCGGCUAACUCCGUGCCAGCAGCCGCGGUAAUACGGAGGAUGCGAGCGUUAUCCGGAUUUAUUGGGUUUAAAGGGUGCGUAGGCGGAUCGUUAAGUCAGUGGUCAAAUUGAGGGGCUCAACCCCUUCCCGCCAUUGAAACUGGCGCUCUUGAGUGGAAGAGAAGUAUGCGGAAUGCGUGGUGUAGCGGUGAAAUGCAUAGAUAUCACGCAGAACCCCGAUUGCGAAGGCAGCAUGCCGGCUUCCGACUGACGCUGAAGCACGAAAGCGUGGGGAUCGAACAGGAUUAGAUACCCGAGUAGUC
rnacentral:rRNA from 1 species